GACGAACGCUGGCGGCGCGCCUAACACAUGCAAGUCGAACGAGCGAGAGAGAGCUUGCUUUCUCGAGCGAGUGGCGAACGGGUGAGUAACGCGUGAGGAACCUGCCUCAAAGAGGGGGACAACAGUUGGAAACGACUGCUAAUACCGCAUAAGCCCACGGUGCCGCAUGGCACAGAGGGAAAAGGAGCAAUCCGAUUUGAGAUGGCCUCGCGUCCGAUUAGCUAGUUGGUGAGGUAAUGGCCCACCAAGGCGACGAUCGGUAGCCGGACUGAGAGGUUGAACGGCCACAUUGGGACUGAGACACGGCCCAGACUCCUACGGGAGGCAGCAGUGGGGAAUAUUGCACAAUGGGGGAAACCCUGAUGCAGCGACGCCGCGUGGAGGAAGAAGGUCUUCGGAUUGUAAACUCCUGUUGUUGGGGAAGAUAAUGACGGUACCCAACAAGGAAGUGACGGCUAACUACGUG
rnacentral:rRNA from 1 species